GGAUGAGGCCCAAGAUCCUGCAUUUUUAAUAAGCUCCCAGAAAUGGAAGAAGAAAGCCUGGAUGACAGCACAUCUGUUUAUGGCAUGAUUUACUGAAUAUUUUAAGCCCACUGUUGAGACCUACUGCUCAGAAAAAAAGAUUCCUUUCAACAUAUUAAUGCUCAUUGACAACGCACCUGGUCACCCAAGAGCUCUGAUGAGAUGCACAAGGAGAUUGAUAUUGUUUUCAUACCUGUUAACACAUCCAUUCUCUACUCAUGGAUCAAUGAGUCACUUUGACUUUCAAGUCUUAUUAUUUCAGAAACACAUUUCCUAAGGCCAUAGCUGCCAUAGAUAAUGCUUAUUCUGAUGGAUCUGGGCAAAGUAAGUUGAAAAUCUUCUGAAAAGGUUUCACCAUGCUAGAAGCUAAUAAGAACAUUCAUGAUUUAUGGGAGGAAGUCAAAAUAUC
rnacentral:lncRNA from 10 species